rnacentral:rRNA from 1 species
GAUGAACGCUGGCGGCGUGCCUAAUACAUGCAAGUCGAGCGAACAGAUGAGGAGCUUGCUCCUCUGACGUUAGCGGCGGACGGGUGAGUAACACGUGGAUAACCUACCUAUAAGACUGGGAUAACUUCGGGAAACCGGAGCUAAUACCGGAUAAUAUAUUGAACCGCAUGGUUCAAUAGUGAAAGACGGUUUUGCUGUCACUUAUAGCUGGAUCCGCGCCGCAUUAGCUAGUUGGUAAGGUAACGGCUUACCAAGGCAACGAUGCGUAGCAGACCUGAGAGGGUGAUCGGCCACACUGGAACUGAGACACGGUCCAGACUCCUACGGGAGGCAGCAGUAGGGAAUCUUCCGCAAUGGGCGAAAGCCUGACGGAGCAACACCGCGUGAGUGAUGAAGGUCUUCGGAUCGUAAAACUCUGUUAUUAGGGAAGAACAAAUGUGUAAGUAACUAUGCACGUCUUGACGGUACCUAAUCAGAAAGCCACGGCUAACUACGUG